CUACCAGCACUUCAAUAUCACAGCAAGAAUGGUAAGAGCUCCAGGGUAUGUAACACUCAGCAAAGCUAAAUGUUAUCAUGGUUACAGGACACCACCAGGACCACAUAGGCAAACUGAUCUUAUGUGCAGAGUUAACGUCAGCAGAGGAUGG
rnacentral:misc_RNA from 1 species